rnacentral:piRNA from 1 species
UAAAUGAUGGGAAUCUGAGCAAAGGCUGUGU